CAGACUUUGCCUGCGUUCUCAGUCUUUGUGUUGUUUUAAAUACUGAAGCACCCCAGUGGACUUCGGGUAGGAAACUGGAGGAAGCGUAUGUUUCAGUCUCCACGCUUAAGUUGAGGCUCCCAAAACAGGCACUCAAGACCCAAGGGUUUCGAAGCGGCUAAGGUGGAGAAACUGUGGAACUGGCACCUGCCCGUGGCAUCCAGGCUGCCCUCGGGGUUUUGUUUCUAGGACACACAAGUCUUCUGCUUCAGCCCAUAUUCACAGAGUACUUCCUGUGGGACCCAGGGAAGCCUUUUCUACAGGGAAUGUGUUCACCUCUUUAUCAGACGCUGUCCCAUCGGAUAGUCUGUUAACACUGCCUUUGCCUUGUCCUGGUGCCUGAGGACCUGGAUCUGACCUAAAGGAAUAUCGCUGGUAAAAACAGAGGAAAGAUAUCCCCCAAAGGAAUGUGUCAAGAUCCUUUUCUUUGGACAGCUUAGAGACUACAGAACAACUCAGAAGCUCAUCAGUUGGGGAGGAGACGGCACAGAACCCUCCUUCAGCUAAAAGAGGACGCAGGGAAGCAAGAGGAACACGUUUGGCUGCCCUGAGCUGCCUCCCCCACUCCUAACCUGGCUCACCACCCAGCAGCCUCUUCACAGCCCCUUUUAGCUAUGGCUUUAGUCAUCUUAGCACAGCACACAAAGACCAGAAUUGUCAGUGUGAGCAAGUUCAACCUACGCAUUUCAGCUCCAGCCAUGCAACAGCUUCUGUGCUUCUGUAUGAGACUGUCCAGAAGGGGCUCUGAGAACACAGGGGGAGGCUCCCAGUGAGGACCUGGGGCUGUGAAGCCUAACCAUGUAAGGCACAUGGUGAGCAAGAAAGGAGUCUCAGAGAAUAUGCUCACCUACAGGAGAUGUCUGUCUGGACUCUUAUGUGUUCUGGAACCUUCAUCUUCAUCCCCACCAAAACCACACCAGAAUGCCAUUAGUACAUUAAUCCAAGAGGCUGAGGUAGAUCCGUGAGAUCAGCCAUGAGAGACGAGGGGGCCCAAACUUACAACAAUCCUGCUGCCUCACCCUCCCGAGUACUAGGGUUGCAGGUGUGAGCCACUGUGCCUGACUAAAGCCAGUCAUUUUCACUUUAACUGAUUGUAUGAAUUUGUGGUGGUUUGUUUGAAUGAAUUGUCCCUCAUAAUCUCAUAGAAAGUGGCACUAUUCAGAGGUGUGGUUUUGUUGGAGUGGGUAUGGCCUUGUUGGAGGAAGUGUGUCAUUGUGGGGGGUGGGCUUUGAGGUUUCGUAAGCUCAGGAUACUGCCCAGUGUCUCAGUUGGCUUCUUGUUGCCCACAAGACACAGCACUCUCAGCUCCAGCACCACAUCUGCCUGCAUGCUGCCAUGCUCCCUGCCAUGAUGAUAAUGAACUGAACCUUUGAAGCUAAAAGCCACUAUCUCUCAAUUAAAUAUUUUUUUUUGUAAGAGUUGCUGUGGUCAAGGUGUCUCUUCACAGCAACAAAACCCUAAGGACAGUCUUAUACAAUUGUUCCUUGGUAUCCUCAGAGGUUUGUCUCAGGACCCCCAAAGGUACCCAAAGCCACAGACACUCAGGACCUUGUAUAAAAUGAUGUAAUGCUUACACAAAGCUCUCUAAAGUCCUCCUGAAGACACACGUUUACUAGUCUAGUCAGAGUCUAUCUAUGUAGCCCAGACUUGCCUCCAAAUUCCUCUAAUCCUUCCGAGUCUGAGAUUACAGGUGUGUGACACCGUGCCUGUCUCUUCUGAAUAGUUUCAGUUGCCUCUGCAUUAUUCAUAAUACCUAAUGCAUUGUACUGUGUAGGGAAUAAUGACAUCUGCACUUGUUUUUGUGUCUGAAUAUUUUUGAUUAAUAUUGGUUAGCUUCAGGGAUGUGAAAACUGCAGACACAGAGGACAGAUGCAAUGUGUGUGCAUGUGUGUGGUAUAUACGCCUAUGUGGUACAUACAGUAUAAAUGCACUAUUAAACUAUAUGUACGUACACAGCUUUAUAAGGUGUGAAGACUUGUGGAUGUGUGUGUGUGCUCUCAUGACUGUGUGCCUGUUGUGCACUAGACCCCAUUUUAAGCCCCUUAAAUUAGUUUUCACCGAAGCCUAAGCUGACGGGAACUCACUGUGUAGCAAGUUUGUUGAGGAUAACCUUGAACUUCUGAUCCCCCCUCCCCCGCCCUCCCAAGUGCUGGAAUUACAGGCAUGUACCACUGUGCCUGGUUCUCCAUGUUGGGAAUUGAACCCAGGGCUUUGUGUGUGCUAGGAAAUCACUCUACCAAUGGGGCUACAUCUCCAACCAGAAGGAGGUAUCUUUGGAAAGAUGAAAUUGUGAUACAGAGGGAUAAAAAUGAAGAAUCUUGAAUGAAUUAGAAACAAAAUUAUUUUCCCCGUGCCACAAAAUGUCCACCUGGCGGAGCUGGAUGGGAGCCCAGUUGUCCCUUGUACUUGACCGCUGCACUUUUGCCUGCCUCUGGACAGUGCCUGCUGGGCUUCGAUUUCAGGGUCCAAGCUGCCUCGGGGUCCCAGCUUCCAGGCCUGAGACUGCAGCCCUGUGGGAGCAGCCUGCUAGGACCUCACUCCAGGCACUCCAGGCUUCCUGCCUCUCCUCCUGCCCCCUCCCUCCACACUCCCCUGAGCCUUGGUGCUUCUCACUCCCAGGCAGGGUUUCUGCCUCUGUGGCUGCCAGCCUCCUGCUCCAGCCAAGGAGGAGCUGGGGGAGCAGAUGGGCUUCGUGGGUCUCUGGCUGUCUGCAGUGAUAGGAGUGUUGAUUUACUAUCUUCUCCCUGUAUUGAAAAAUAGUCUUCUAAAAACUUUAUGGGCGUAUUUCUAUGGCCCUCUUCCAACUGCAGAAAGCAUUGUGAUACGGUGAAAAUUUCUGGCCAUAUUGUUUCAUUUCAGAGUGAUAUUGAAUCAGGCCUGAGUAAAUAUUUAUGAUUUCUCUCGAAAUGUGGCAGACUUAUGACAUGGUAAUUAAUUUUACUGUAGGCUGAAUUCAAUGUCUUUGGUAAUAUAUGGGUAGGUAUGUAAAGUGUUUAUAGGGCUUUCAAAAGCAAGCCCAGGGCUUACACGAAUCCCUAGUCGUCAGACAGCCAAGGAGGGGCAAGAUUGCAAUUCUAAUUUCGCUGAUAGAAUUUCUGUGGGAAGCCAGGAUUCUUUUAAAGAUUGAUAUUCAUUGCACAAUCACACACAUCAUAUAUUUUAUGUACUGUUAAAGUAUUUGGAAACUUCAAAUACACUUACUUUUCAAGAAAUGCGUGCUUCAAGCAAUGUUAAAAAAGAAAGGCUAAAUUUAGAAGAUUGGCUUUGGUUUGGGGCAAAAGCUGAGAGGAACAGAAUAUUUCAUAGCUCUGCAAAGGGCCCUUAUACAAAGUCUCCAUUUGAGGGGUGCUUCGCUCCCCGCCCCCGCAUUUAAUUAUCAGCACGAUCUACAUUUUCUGCCUUAGAGAAUCUAUCAGGGAUUGUGGCUGUAGCUCAGCUAGAGUGUUUAACCAGCAUGCGCGAGGCUUUGAGUUUGAUCCCCAGCACAGCAUGAAGCCUGGUACCAUCUGUGCACCCAGAGCUCAGGUAGAGCCAGAAGAAUCAGAAGUUCAAGGUCAUCCCUGGACGCCUGGCAGUUUCAAGGCCCUUGUCUCAGACAAAGAGAACAAACAUAUCCAGCUACUCACGGUGGUUCGCACCUAUAACCCCGCUGCUCUGGAGGCCGAGAGGGAUGCCUUUAGGUGCAGGAAGCCAGUCUGAGCUACAGAGUGAGUUCCAGAACAGCCAGGGCUACAGAGUGAGGCUUCACCUCAGGCAAACAAGCAAACUAGCUGGUUUACUUCUCACGUGAUUGUCCGUGAUACUUGUGUUCCGUCCCCAACACCACAGAAAGCAGGCGUGGGCACACCCUUGGGAGGUGGAGGCAGGAAGAUCAGAAGUGCAAGGUGGGGCUCAGCCACACAGUGAUUUGAAGCCAGGCUUAGGUAUAUGAGACCCUAUCUCAAGAACAAUUUUUUAAAAUUAUAAAGCCAGGAGAAGGGCAUCUGCAAGGUGUUUUUGUGUUGCUGUGACCAGAGUAGCUGAUGACGGCAGCCUCAGGGGAAGAAGACUCAUCGUGGCCCCUUGACUCCUGGCUUGAGAAGAUCCAGCCCACAGUGGUGGAGACGGCACCGGGAAGAGCUCCAUUCGCGGUCUAGGAAGCAAAGACACGGAAUGGCAGAGUCUUGUACUGCAGGAAGGGAGCGGAGGGCGCUGGGUUAUUUUCACAUGAAGACAGGCUGUGUAGCGGCACUCUCUGAAUUCCCAGCGCUUGUGUUGAUGAUUCUAGAAUGGGCUUGGGGAGGGGUAAGAGAAAGAGGAAGAAGAAGGAGCCUGCAUCUUGCAUCUUACCUGGUAGCAUUCAUUCUAACUAAAAUGGCUCCCAGAGUACAAUCAGCACCUGGUCCCAUCUCUGUCACACUGCAGACUAGAAAGGGGCCUGUGUGGGCUCAGGGCUAUUUCUACGGUUAGCUUCUAUACUGUAAACUGGGUAACUCAAAACCGUAAGUUUAUGCACUGUUUUUCAGUUUGCCAAGGGGAUAUUGCACGGUGUAAUAAAAUUUCUCAGUGAGCAGUUUCAUUACUUUAUGUAAGAAUAAUAUGUAUUUAUGAGCAAUUACCCUCUGCUGGGCACUUUCCUUCUAGGGCCUCCUUUGAGCUGCACAGGUGAUUUUUAUUUAUGCAUUUCACAAUAUUUAUUGAGCACUUACUAUUUUCCAGACAGCACGCCAAGCUACACUGGUCUUGCUUCAAGAAGCCUAUAAUUUCAGGAGGGACCAGACAUUCCCCUUGCCCCACUGCUGGGAAUUGAACCUGGGACCUGACUCAUGCUAGGCCAGCACACUAUCCCUGAGCUACCUUCCUAGGUCCAGAUAGGUG